UACAGAGGGUGCGAGCGUUGUCCGGAAUCACUGGGCGUAAAGGGCGCGUAGGCGGCUUGAUAAGGUUGCGGUGAAAGCCCGGGGCUCAACCCCGGGUCGGCCGUGGCAACUGUCGAGCUGGAGCACUGUAGAGGCAGGUGGAAUUCCGGGUGUAGCGGUGGAAUGCGUAGAGAUCCGGAAGAACACCGGUGGCGAAGGCGGCCUGCUGGGCAGUGGCUGACGCUGAGGCGCGAAAGCGUGGGGAGCGAUCCGG
rnacentral:rRNA from 1 species